CAUUAAGUUUACGUAUGUAAUUUCAUAUUGUACUUAUAUAUAAGUCUUUAAUCCAACAAUGACUUCAAAAAUUAUCUCUUUACUUUCUGCACGAUUUACAAAGAUGUACUAAGCUAUUAUUUAUAGGACAGAUACAUAAAAUAUUAAGUUAAGUAAAAGAAAUUAUGUUAGAUAAAAGAAUGUUAAACCUUUUGUUGUCUCUAAUAAUCUAUUUU
rnacentral:lncRNA from 1 species